rnacentral:ribozyme from 16 species
CAGUGUCAAUUGCAAAAGGACAAGGGUAAGGGUGAAAAACCGGGAUCAGAUAUCUGCGCGAAUGGCACCGAACCUUGCUUGGAAAAACUCCGACA